UGCCGGGUGUGGGACGAAUACAAUACCCUUCGGGGGAAUACUCCCGCCGCUCCUGCGCGGUUACGAGCACCCGGUCUUGCUGAU
rnacentral:ncRNA from 1 species